rnacentral:rRNA from 1 species
GUGGGGAAUUUUGGACAAUGGGCGAAAGCCUGAUCCAGCAAUGCCGCGUGUGUGAAGAAGGCCUUCGGGUUGUAAAGCACUUUUGGCAGGGAAGAAACAGUGCGUGCUAAUACCAUGCGCGAAUGACGGUACCUGCAGAAUAAGCACCGGCUAACUACGUGCCAGCAGCCGCGGUAAUACGUAGGGUGCAAGCGUUAAUCGGAAUUACUGGGCGUAAAGCGUGCGCAGGCGGCUUUGUAAGACGGAUGUGAAAGCCCCGGGCUCAACCUGGGAAGUGCAUUCGUGACUGCAAGGCUAGAGUGUGUCAGAGGGAGGUGGAAUUCCGCGUGUAGCAGUGAAAUGCGUAGAGAUGCGGGGGAACACCGAUGGCGAAGGCAGCCUCCUGGGAUAACACUGACGCUCAGGCACGAAAGCGUGGGGAGCAAACAGGAUUAGAAACCCGAGUAGUCU